rnacentral:rRNA from 1 species
CCUACGGGUGGCAGCAGUGAGGAAUAUUGGUCAAUGGGCGGAAGCCUGAACCAGCCAAGUCGCGUGAGGGAUUAAGGCCCUGCGGGUCGUAAACCUCUUUUGCCGGGGAGCAGUGGUCCGGACGCGUCCGGACCGGGAGAGUACCCGGAGAAAAAGCAUCGGCUAACUCCGUGCCAGCAGCCGCGGUAAUACGGAGGAUGCGAGCGUUAUCCGGAUUUAUUGGGUGUAAAGGGCGUGCAGCCGGGAAGACAAGUCAGAUGUGAAAUCCCGCGGCUCAACCGCGGAACUGCAUUUGAAACUGUUUUUCUUGAGUAUCGGAGAGGUAAUCGGAAUUCCUAGUGUAGCGGUGAAAUGCGUAGAUAUUAGGAAGAACACCAGUGGUGAAGGCGGAUUACUGGACGACAACUGACGGUGAGGCGCGAAAGCGUGGGGAGCAAACAGGAUUAGAUACCCCUGUAGUC